GGGUGUUUAUUUAAUAAUUAGAAAUAAGGUAAAUUAGGUAAAUUGUGCUUUUAUUUCAAUAUCACUUUCAAUAUAAAAAGUGGAUUUUAUGAUAAUAAGAUACAUGCAAAGUAGGUUUAUUCAGAAGCUCUAGCUUCAACAUGCAGAAAAGCACUUUACUCUCCAAGUUUUAUUUAUUCAUAGUACUUCUUGGUGUUAACUUCUUUCAAUAGUCCAUCUGUUGUAUCUGCAAAAAGACCUGAUUAAUUUAAGAUAUUAAAAAACAAUCAAACAUGAUAUAUAUAAUUAAGAGAAGUGAUAAGAAGAAUAAAAAUAACUUUGAGAAGUGUAAUUUACCUCAACUUCCUGAACCGAUCCCUGAGGUGCAUAAUUUGGCACAAUCCUAGCUAAGAAUUCCUUGCGUUGAUGAAUUGGAACACCAUAAGAAGCUUUUAGAUCAGCAGGAUUCUUAUGAAGGUACGAAUAUACAUGAAGCAAGUAAUUAUCUUCAACACCUAU
rnacentral:lncRNA from 1 species